AUUGAACGCUGGCGGCAUGCCUUACACAUGCAAGUCGAACGGCAGCGCGGACUUCGGUCUGGCGGCGAGUGGCGAACGGGUGAGUAAUACAUCGGAACGUACCCUGUUGUGGGGGAUAACUAGUCGAAAGAUUAGCUAAUACCGCAUACGACCUGAGGGUGAAAGUGGGGGACCGCAAGGCCUCACGCAGCAGGAGCGGCCGAUGUCGGAUUAGCUAGUUGGUGGGGUAAAGGCCCACCAAGGCGACGAUCAGUAGCUGGUCUGAGAGGACGAUCAGCCACACUGGGACUGAGACACGGCCCAGACUCCUACGGGAGGCAGCAGUGGGGAAUUUUGGACAAUGGGGGCAACCCUGAUCCAGCAAUGCCGCGUGUGUGAAGAAGGCCUUCGGGUUGUAAAGCACUUUUGUCCGGAAAGAAAUCGCGCUGGUUAAUACCUGGCGUGGAUGACGGUACCGGAAGAAUAAGCACCGGCUAACUACGUG
rnacentral:rRNA from 1 species